GCGCGAUUAGCUCAGUUGGUAGAGCAAUUGACUCUUAAUCAAUGGGUCUAGGGUUCGAGUCCCUAAUCGCGUA
rnacentral:tRNA from 1 species